rnacentral:rRNA from 1 species
CCUACGGGAGACAGCAGUAGGGAAUAUUGCUCAAUGGGGGAAACCCUGAAGCAGCAACGCCGCGUGGAGGAUGAAGGUUUUCGGAUUUUAAACCCCUUUUGUUAUAGGAGAAAAUGACGGUAUCUAAACAAUAAGCACCGGAUAACUCCAUGCCAGCAGCGGCGGUAAUACGGAGGGUGCAAGCGUUACUCGGAAUCACUGGGCGUAAAGAGCGCGUAGGCGGGCUAACAAGUCAGAUGUGAAAUGCUAUGGCUUAACCAUAGAACUGCAUUUGAAACUGUUAGUCUAGAGUAUGGGAGAGGUAGGUGGAAUUCUUGGUGUAGGGGUAAAAUGCGUAGAUAUCAAGAGGAACACUCAUUGCGAAGGCGGCUUGCUAGACCAUAACUGACGCUGAUGCGCGAAAGCGUGGGGAGCAAACAGGAUUAGAUACCCUUGUAGUC